rnacentral:pre_miRNA from 1 species
GAGCUUUUGGCUCGGGUUAUACCUGAUGCUCACGUAUAAGACGAGCAAAAAGCUUGU